UACGUAGGGUGCGAGCGUUGUCCGGAAUUACUGGGCGUAAAGAGCUCGUAGGUGGUUUGUCGCGUUGUUCGUGAAAACCGGGGGCUUAACCCUCGGCGUGCGGGCGAUACGGGCAGACUGGAGUACUGCAGGGGAGACUGGAAUUCCUGGUGUAGCGGUGGAAUGCGCAGAUAUCAGGAGGAACACCGGUGGCGAAGGCGGCCCGCUGGGCAGUGGCUGACGCUGAGGCGCGACAGCGUGGGGAGCAAACAGG
rnacentral:rRNA from 1 species